CUAUCAUGCAAGUCGGACGGGAUUGGAGAGCUUGCUUUCCAUGAGAGUGGCGCACGGGUGCGUAACACGUAUGUAACCUACCUUUAUCAGGGGGAUAGCCUCUCGAAAGAGAGAUUAAGCCCGCAUAACAUCACGAUAUAGCAUUAUAAUGUGAUCAAAUAUUUAUAGGAUAGAGAUGGGCAUGCGGAACAUUAGCUAGUUGGUAAGGUAAUGGCUUACCAAGGCUACGAUGUUUAGGGGAUCUGAGAGGAUGACCCCCCACACUGGUACUGAGACACGGACCAGACUCCUACGGGAGGCAGCAGUAAGGAAUAUUGGUCAAUGGGCGGAAGCCUGAACCAGCCAUGCCGCGUGCAGGAAGACGGCCCUACGGGUUGUAAACUGCUUCUGUACCGGAAUAAACCCCCGUUCGUGAACGGGGCUGAAUGUACGGUAAGAAUAAGGAUCGGCUAACUCCGUGCCAGCAGCCGCGGUAAUACGGAGGAUCCAAGCGUUAUCCGGAUUUAUUGGGUUUAAAGGGUGCGUAGGCGGCCUGUUAAGUCAGGGGUGAAAGACGGUAGCUCAACUAUCGCAGUGCCCUUGAUACUGAUGGGCUUGAAUGUACUAGAGGUAGGCGGAAUGUGACAAGCAGCGGUGAAAUGCAUAGAUAUGUCACAGAACACCAAUUGCGAAGGCAGCUUACUAUGGUAUGAUUGACGCUGAGGCACGAAAGCGUGGGGAUCAAACAGGAUUAGAUACCCUGGUAGUCCACGCCCUAAACGAUGAAUACUCGAUGUUAGCGAUAUACAGUUAGCGUCAAAGCGAAAGCGUUAAGUAUUCCACCUGGGGAGUACGCCCGCAAGGGUGAAAC
rnacentral:rRNA from 1 species